rnacentral:rRNA from 1 species
UACGUAGGGUGCAAGCGUUGUCCGGAAUUAUUGGGCGUAAAGAGCUCGUAGGCGGUUUGUUGCGUCGGCUGUGAAAUCCCGAGGCUCAACCUCGGGUCUGCAGUCGAUACGAGCAAACUAGAGUGUUGCAGGGGAGACUGGAGUUCCUGGUGUAGCGGUGAAAUGCGCAGAUAUCAGGAGGAACACCGGUGGCGAAGGCGGGUCUCUGGGCAACAACUGACGCUGAGGAGCGAAAGCGUGGGGAGCAAACAGG